rnacentral:rRNA from 1 species
UGGGGAAUUUUGCGCAAUGGGCGAAAGCCUGACGCAGCAACGCCGCGUGAGUGAUGAAGGCCCUCGGGUCGUAAAGCUCUGUCAGAGGGGAAGAAACUUUUGAGGGAGAAUAUCCCUUGAAACUGACGGUACCCCCAAAGGAAGCACCGGCUAACUCCGUGCCAGCAGCCGCGGUAAUACGGAGGGUGCAAGCGUUGUUCGGAAUUAUUGGGCGUAAAGCGCGUGUAGGCGGCUAUUUAAGUCUGAUGUGAAAGCCCGGGGCUCAACCCCGGUAGUGCAUUGGAAACUGGAUAGCUUGAGUACGGGAGAGGGUAGUGGAAUUUCGAGUGUAGGGGUGAAAUCCGUAGAUAUUCGAAGGAACACCGGUGGCGAAGGCGGCUACCUGGACCGAUACUGACGCUGAGACGCGAAAGCGUGGGGAGCAAACAG